CACGCUGAGUCACGUGAGGCUGGGUGGUGGCGCCUCAGGGGUGGCGGGAGUCCUGCUGCUGCAGCCCCGGGGCCCCGGUGCAUAGAGCUCUGCCCUAGUUAUUGAACCAAUGAAUAACUCCUUUGGGAUUUGGCUUAAAAUGCACACGGAGAGUUUUGAUAACAGCCACAGCCGUUUACUUAUGGAGAAAACAAGCCUCUGAGCACAAACACUGCUCCUGCCCGGGUACCUGGCUGCCCCUCUUGGGAGCCCCAAACACCACAUGGGCUGCACACGGCGCACACUCCCGCCGGCUUUCGGGGAGAGGAGGCCCGUUCACAGGCUGGAAGUCGAACGCCUCUGCCUCCUGCUCCAACCUGCUUCCCUCCCCGAAGGCUCCUUUAGGCCUGUAGCAUCUCAGGAGGCCCCCGUCACUCCAGACAGCCCACCUCUUUUCUAGCCUGUUCUGCCUUCUGCAGGGCCGUGCCGAGAUGGGCUCCCGGCAGCCGGCCCCUGUCCAUCUGGGCUGGGGAGGGGCCUGCCUGGGUCUGGGGGAGCAGGGUUAGGGGACGGCUCCUGAUGGGGGAGGUGCUGAGUGGGGACGGGCUCUUCCCGCAGGCUCUGCGCAGGCCUAGAGCGGGCGCGGGGGCGGAAAAGCGCUGACGAGAGCCCCUCAGCUGCGGGGUUUAUGCGACCUUCAGCCUGACGGGACGGCAGAGACGGUGUGAUUCAGUUCACAAACCUGGAGAAGCAGAACGGCCAUGCCACCCGAACCCCCCCAGAAGUUAGUUUUUUGCCGCUGCUACCUUUUCCGUUACUCAUGUCUCCCGUCCUCUCACGAGCCCACUUCGACUGUCAACUAGUGGUGUAAAACGUAGUAUUUCACCCCAGAUGCACUUCAGACUCUUGCAGCUGGUGUCAUUUAAUACUUACGAGACCUUUAAACAUGUCUAUUUAUGAGAGACAGAAAGGGGGUGAGGCACAGAAGAUGAAUCUAUUUCCUGAUUUGACAAGUAACCGUAAGAAACUAAAAGCAAAAUAAUAAAUUUAAACUAGCAUCAGAAUGAGGAUACGAUAUUCCCUAGUUUGUCACAGAAUCUACCAGCCACACCUGCCCUCCACACGGGGAGGACGACCAUAAUGGGUUUUGAUUGAAAGGAGCCUUCGAGGCUCCCUGCGAGCUGCAAACAGCCCCCCGUCUACGUGUGUGGCUGCGGAGCGGGGAGCCCCUUGGCGUCAGGCCAGAGCGUCCCGCAGACCUCCCGGGAGGGGCCCCUGCCCGCAGUGGCCAGGCCGAGGGGAGCCAUCUGACGGGCCCUCUGCCCUGAAUGACCCAGCCCCAAGUGACCUAGCUUUUCGGAGAUGCCUCUUCUUUCAGGUCCCAUGUUGGGGGCUUGGCCCAGGCCGGGGAAGAGACUCAGAACCCACUGGGCUUGGACGACUGCCCACCCGCAGUGCCUGCCCUGAUGAGGGCAGCUCCUAAGGGUAGCGGUUCCUGGAUGUCUCGGGCUUGUCUACACUUAACUGUGCUGCUGGAAGCAAAGGUAGGAACCGGGGCAGGGGACCCCCCCCCCCCGCCGCCCCCUCAUGCCUCAGCCUCAGGCAGUCUACACAGGAGCUCCUGUCUCCACUCGCACCCUUUCCUCGCCUGUCCUGGGAGCAAGGCUGCUUCUGAAGCCGAAGAGUGACAGGCCCCCAGGCCUCUGGCUCGGGCCAACCCCACUCCACCGCCCCCGGCCGCCCCAUGGCUGGGUCCCUCAGGGCUCGAUCUGCCUCACGGAGCUCUGUGAUCCCCAAAGGCAACGUGGCCCGUUGUGGGGGCGGGAAGGCUUAUGCCCCCAUGACCUCUACCUGGCCUUCCUCAGCACAGUGCCGAGGCCCUGGGAAGUGGCAGGGAGCCGGGGCUCGGCCUGUCUUCCUGCGUCUCCUGCACCCCCUGGCUGGACACGCUGCACAGGGGUCAGGACCAGACCUUAAGACCUGUAGCUAAAGUCCAAAGAAAAACCCCAGCAGCUAAGAGGAAACGAAUUGCAACGGCCCGCCUGCCUGAGGUGAAGAGUUCAACUGGAUUUGAGGUCGGUGAGCGAUGCUGCAACCUUUCCUGCACAAAUGGGGCGGGCCUACUCGGCUCCUGCCUGAAAGAUGGGGUCAGAUGCCAUCUGGCCUCGAGACAGCUUCUCCUGGGUCAACCGGCCGCUGCCCACUGCUCUUGGGUCUGGAUCCCCCUCAGUGUGCGGUCAUGUAACUUGUAAUGAAACUGCCCCCCGCCCCAGCGAAGCUUUCCACGUCCUCGCCUACAGGUGAAAUGGUGGGCAUUGGCAGAAUUACCUCCAGAAGCACAAAAUUGCUGCUCUGAAGGAACCCUGCUGAUCAUUUGGUCCUGUGGUCACUUAAGGGUCCUGAGACCUUGUUAAAUGCAGACUCUUGGUCCCUCCCCGAGAUGCUAAGAUGCCGUCAUGCUGGCUUGUAGAGGGAGCUGGGACUCUGAACUUUCAGCAAGCCCUCGAAGUUCCUCCGUGGACAAACCCAGGGCGGGGAGUCACCGGUUUGCCGUCUGCCGUCUUUCACCAGCACGCAAGCUGGAGUCGCGGGCCACGCUGGGCAGAUCCGGGCCACCGUGUGUGCUCUGGCUGGGGGGUGCCGUCCCCUCAGGGCCUCACGCUGCCUCCCGCAGCUCAGCCCUUUGGCGUCUUCUCUUUAGCUGCCCUGCCUGGAGGGUGGGGUGGGCAGGAGCAGCAACAUCCCCUUGAAAAAACUGGCUUCCUUGGGAAUUCUUAAAUCGAAACCUUACUAAAAAUACAAGCAGGAUAAAAGUCCUGACUUCUUCCCCAUAAGAAGCACCAGAAUGAAGAGAGAACGAAAUUUUCCUCAACUCAUGAUUCAUUGAAACGCUCAUGCUCCAAAUUACUCUUUAAAAAGCACAGACUGAUUUUUGGCAUCAUUAUUAGCAAUGAUUAUACAGGUGGACCUUGUUUCACUGUGCUGCACAGAAAUUGAGUUUUUUACAAAUUGAAGGUUUGUGGCAAUCCCGUGUCGAGCAAUUGUAUUGGCGCCAUUUUUCAAACAGCAUUACUUUUUAAUUAAGUGGUCUGGAACCAAACCCAGGGUAUCUUGGAGGUUUGCCUGUAACAGGAACCGAAUCACUAAGCGUGCUGGCCAAACAUGCAGCUUAACCUGAGAAAGGGGCCUGCAAAAGCUCCGGCACCAAGUUGGUGCUCCACAGAUACCUGUGGAAGAGCAACUAAGCACAGCUCCAAGCCUACAGCAGCAGCCAGAGAGAUGACAGCUCAGCCGAUAAUCUCAUCAAGAACAACACAGACAGGUAAAGCCUCCCUCCUCAUGGGUGUGUAAAUGAGACACAUUCAUGUUCUUGAAGUGAGCGUCACUUUCUGGACCAUAAAUGUGCCGGUCACAUGUAUAGGAUCACAGGAAACACACCGUAACAUGGGCUGUAUGUCAGAAGUUUCAGGAGUUUGGAGUUCCAGACGGUUCCCUGCCCUGCUAACAGUGCAGACCUGGGUCCAGCCCCUCAGGAUGUCACCCAGUGGAGACAGGAAUCUCAGCCCCCCAAGCCCUCAGGGGUGGCUCUGGUGAAGGGAAGGUGGUAUGCAGGUAGAGCUGGGUGGAAAGAAGAUGACAAGGGAAAGUCAAGGGCCACCAGGAAAGUUGCCAGAUCAUCAUCUUGGUCCCAGCUGGAAACCAAGACUCCUCCAAGAAGGUCCAAACCCAGCUCCCAGACCUGGUGGCCAGGCCCAGCUUGCCCCACCAGUGAGAUGCCAGUGUCCACGAGUUCAUUAACUGCGUGAGCUGAUCCUGGGGAAGAUAAAUGUCAGUUCAACUUAAAAAAAAAAUUAAAGUCUACUUCUUAAAUCAUCUUUUGGGAGGAGAAGAUCAAGAUGGCAGGGUGGAAGGAUGUGGAGCUCACCUCCCCCCACAAAUAUGUCAAAAAUACAUCUACAACUGGAACAAUUCUCACAGAACACCAACUGAAAGUGCUAAAUGAAAAAGUGGAGGAAGCAGUCCCAAUUAAAAGAAAAAGAGAAGUCACCUGAAAGAACAAACUGAAUACCAACUGAAAGCGGGCAGAAGAUCUCAUACAACUAAAGCUGUAAGAAAGAUCCCCAUGUAACCUGGUAAGACUAAAGGGAAAAAAGGGGGGGAAUCAAGGUGGGACCUGUGCUCCUGGGAGGGAGCCAUGAAAGAGGAACGGUUUCCUUACCCUGGGAACCUCCUUCGCCGGUUGGGAGCUCAGCCAGGACAGAUAGGUGGCUGCAGGGGCCUGGAAUUUGCCCAAGAGGAGUGUGCACAGGCUGGCUUGCUUCCAAGCAGGAAUAGAGAGGAACCGACACUGACUGCUGCCACGUCACCACACUUCCCAGCCCAAGACACGCACUUACUGGUGUGCGCAGUGCCUGGGUACUGAAACUUGGGCUUCGGCGGACAGACUCGAGGAGCGGACUUGGUUUGGCUAUUUGGACAUAGCCCGAAGGGCCUAGGAUGUGGUCCAGGCCGCAAAUGGGGGUGUGUGUGGGACAGAGCGUGGGUCCGUCAUGGAAGCCUCAUUCACACCAUGCUCACAGUGGGCACAGCUUCCGGAGCUCCCACUUUGUGAGUGUGCACAUGCUGAAGGCAGGCAGAGCUGACACACGCACUCUUGCAGUAGAGACUAGGCCGAUUUUGUGGGUGUGCACGCCAGGUGGUGGGUGGCGUCACAGAGUUGCCUGUCCCAGCAAACAGGUCCCGCAGAGGAACACCCAGCGGCUCCUUUCCGGGGGAGUGCUCCAGUCUCACCUACCUCACACUGCAGCUUAGAACCGGACCUGGGGGUUUUUAUUCCAACAACUGGGGAGCAAACCCUACCCCCGACAGGGCUGUGACAACCAAAGAGGAAGCCCCGCCCAAUAUCCAGUGCAGGCUCUGGUCACCACAGCACCAAACACACCCCUUAUCAAGGGGACAAUGGGCAGCACGCUCUGAGCAAAGUCAUGGCAGGCAUCCACACCAAAUACAGCCCUUGCAUCAAAAAUAUUGGACUUACACAGUCUACAAAGGGAUGCUCCCACAUAAAAACAUCCUUUCAAGACCACAGUACGUAACUGUUUCUCCUAAAUUCUUAGCGUAAGAGAAAUGAAAGUAAAAUGACAAAGCAGAGGAAGUACUCCCAAUUAAAAGAAAAGAAGAAGUCCCUGAAAGAAAAAACAAUGAAACAGAGCUCUCCAGUCUACCAGACCCCUGAGUUCAAAAAGGAGGUAAUAAAAAUGCUGAAGGAAUUAAGAAAGACUAUCAGUAGAAAUGGAGAUCACUGUAACAAGGAACUAGAAACCAUAAAGAGACAAUCAAAAUUAGACAACUCAAUUGCCAAGAUAAAAACCGAGCUAAAGGCAAUAAAUAGCAAACUAAAUAAUGCAGAAGAACGAAAAGUGAUCUGUAAGACAGAAUUAAGUCACCCAAUCAGAACAGCAGACAGAAAGACAAAUGAAAAAAAUGAAAGCAACAUACGAGACAUAUAGGAUAAUAUAAAGCAUGCCAAUCUACACAUAAUAGGAAUUCCAGAAGGCGAAGAAAGGGAAAAGUGGAUCAAGAUGUAUUUGAAGAAAUUAUGGCUGAAAACUUUCCAAACCUAAAGAAGGAAACAGAUAUCCAGGUACAAGAAGUACAGAGAGUCCCACACCAAGACAUAUCAUAAUUAAAAUGGCAAAAGUUUAGAAUCCUCUAUAAGGCAGCAAGAGAAAAAGAGUCAGUUACAAGGGAACCCCCAUAAGGCUAUCAACUGAUUUCUCUACAGAAACAUUGCAGGCCAGAAGGGAGUGGCAAGCUCUAUUCAAAGUCCUGAAAGGGAAAAAUCCGCAACCUAGGAUACUCUACCCAGCAAGAUUAUCAUUUAGAUUAAAAGAAGAGAUAAAGAAUUUCUCAAUCAAAAACUAAAAGAAUACAGCACUACGAACCCUAUCUUAAAAGAAAUAUUGAAAGGUCUUCUUUAAAUAGAAAUGAAGCAAGAACCUAUAAGAAAGGGGAAAAUCACAAUAGGAAAGGCAAAUAUAUGAAAGGAUUGAAGGUCAGUUAAAUAAGCCAGUACAUAGAUUAAAAAAAUUUUUUUUUCAAUUUUGUGAAUGUGGUUACAACUACAAGGAACAGCAAAUGGAUAAACAUGAAGAUGUAAAAUGGACAUCAAAAUCACAAAGUGUGGAGAAGGGUAGUAGGAUAAUGUACAUCUUUUAGAAUGUAGAGCUUUCAUGACUAUCAGUCUAAAGCAAGUAGUUAUAGUUAUGGGUUACCAUACUUGAAAACCAGGGUAACCACAAAUUAAAAACAUACAAUAACAGAAACAUAGAUCAAUGGAACAAGAUAGAAAGCCCAGAGAUAAACCCAAGCACCUAUGGUCAACUAAUCUAUGACAAAGGAGGCAAGGAUAUACAAUGGAGAAAAGACUGUCUCUUCAAUAAGUGGUGCUGGGAAAACUGGACAGCUACAUGUAAAAGAAUGAAAUUAGAACACUCCCUAACACCAUACACAAAAAUAAACUCAAAAUGGAUUAGAGACCUAAAUGUAAGACAAGACACUAUAAAACUCUCAGAGGAAAACAUAGGAAGAACACUCCUGGACAUAAAUCACAGCAAGAUCUUUUUUGAUCCACCUCCUACAGUAAUGGAAAUAAAAACAAACAAGUGGGACCUAAUGAAACUUCAAAGCUUUUGCACAGCAAAGGAAACCAUAAACAGGACAAAAAGACAACCCUCAGAAUGGGAGAAAAUAUUUGCAAACGAAUCAAUGGACAAAGGGUUAAUCUCCAAAAUAUAUAAACAGCUCAUGCAGCUCAAUAUUAAAAAAACAAA